rnacentral:lncRNA from 1 species
AUUUAGAGGUUUAUUUCGAACAACUGGCAAUUCCAGGAAUGAUGGAAUAAAGCAUACGAAGUAGAAGGACUGGAACCUCCAGAAAAAGUACUUUAAGUUACCUACAGGUGAUCCUAGUCAGGUAUGAAUUGAUAAGAAAUGCCUGCACCUUCCCUCCUUCCUAUCUUUCCCUUGCCUACAGAAAAUUAAAAGGCAAAACAAUGGACAUCUACAUAUUCUUCAUUCAGAUCAACCAGUGGCUAGCAUUUGCCACCUUUUGCAGUUUCUUUCUCUUUCCAUAAGUACUUUCUUCUCUGAAUCAUUUGAAAGCAAAUGAAAACAGUAGCCUAAAGUGUCAGUUUCAACCCGAAAAUAACAGCUCUGAUUUCUCAUGGCUCACACUCGUCUGAAAUGACUCGGGUAGAGGCUGAGGAAGGCUGUGUUGUUUGUCUACCUGGGACUACACCUACUGAAAGAAGUUCUCAAGUUCUGAUUGAGUUCUAAAAUUCUUUUGAAGAUUGGAAUUCUUCAUAUGUAAAAAGAGAAGAGAAAGACAUUCUUGAUUUUGGUGACUAGAGUUGUAGAUGCUGGAAGCUUUGCCACUAACAUUGAUGAACCAGAUGCAUGUCACCAGCCCAUCACGGGCACCAUGGGCCGGCACUGCCACGUUUUCCAAGGAACCUGCCAGAGCUCCUGCGGAAGCUGCUCCUCGGGCGAUGGAGUCCCUUUGCUGCUAGGCCCUUCUUCAGUCACCACAGGAUGCCUGCCAUUCAUGAACAGGAAGGAGAGGACGGGCUUUGAAUAAAAAACAGGAUCCAGGAAAUAUUUGUGAGGCCAUUUGGACUUCAGUGUGAAAUGGUGUUAAAAGAUGAAGUCAUUUAUUCAAGAAGUAAACCUCUGCCACCUGGACUGUGCUCAGACAUUUCAUUGAUUUUGUUUAAUAAACAUUUUCUGGCUUUGGGAGGUGUCUCUCUUGGUAGAGCACAGUGUCAAAGAUGGACAAGAUGGACACAUAGUCCAUUAUUUGGUAUUGUUUGUGUAUGGGAGCGGACCACAAAUUAAUGUUUGGAGAACAAUUUUGUCAUAACACACUGUUGAGGCUCAGUUGUACAGAACUGGAAAAGUCUUUCAGCUUGGCACAUGUCCUGAUUCAGCCUUUGUUUAACAUACAUUCCAAUCCGGAUUCUAUCUUCACUGGCUACAAAGACCACCUGAUACGUGCACCACGACACAGGAGCUGCUGGAGAGGGGGUAGUGUUAUCACCUCAAACCCACAGCCAUAUUUUUCAAAAGCCAGCUUAGAGAGAGGUGUACUGAUAGCUGCAUAGAGAACAUGCAGUCCAUCCAUUCUUCCCAGUGAUGUACAUUUCUCAAUCAGUAACCACGUGGUAUACCAGCCUUGAGUGUCACAUCUCCCAACCAUACCAAAUGGAUCACCUAACUGGAGGUGGGGGGGGCCCCUCAGAAAUGAGAUUUCGUAUUUACUGUAAAAUUGCCUUAUUUUUUCUUUUGAGGUGGAGUCUCACUCUGUUGCCUGGGCUGGAGUGCAAUGGUGUGAUCACUGCUCACUGCAACCUCCGCCUCCUGGGUUCAAGCAGUUCUCCUGCCUCAGCCUCCCAAGUAGCUGCAAUUACAGGCGCAUGCCACCACUCCCAGCAAAUUUUUAUAUUUUUAGUGGAGACAGGGUUUCACCAUGUUGGCCAGGCUGGUCUCAAACUCCUGACCUCAGGUGAUCUGCCCACCUUGGCCUCCCAAAGUUCUGGGAUUAAAGGUACGAGCCACCGCAACUGGCUGAGAAUCUUUUUAUUUGCUGAUUUGUCUCUUGUGUAUUUUCUUUGUUCAGAUGUCUC